GAUGAACGCUGGCGGCGUGCCUAAUACAUGCAAGUCGAACGAAACUUCUUUAUCACCGAGUGCUUGCACUCACCGAUAAAGAGUUGAGUGGCGAACGGGUGAGUAACACGUGGGCAACCUGCCCAAAAGAGGGGGAUAACACUUGGAAACAGGUGCUAAUACCGCAUAACCAUAGUUACCGCAUGGUAACUAUGUAAAAGGUGGCUAUACUACCGCUUUUGGAUGGGCCCGCGGCGCAUUAGCUAGCUGGUAGGGUAAAGGCUUACCAAAGCAUUGACGGGUCGCCGGACUGAGAGGGUGACCGGCCACAUUAGGACUGAGGUGAGGCCCCGGCGCGUACGGUAGGCAGCAGGGGGGAAGACUGCAGAAUGGGCGGAAGGCUGAUGAAGCAACUCUGCGUGCCGGAUGACCGUCUUCUGGGAGUAAAACGCUCUCGCCUGUGACGGUGCGCGAGUGACGGUAAUGGAUACAGAAGCACCGGCUUACCUCCGU
rnacentral:rRNA from 1 species